rnacentral:rRNA from 1 species
GAUGAACGCUAGCGGAAGGCUUAAUACAUGCAAGUCGAGCGGUAGGUGGCUUCGGCCAUUGAGAGCGGCGCACGGGUGAGUAACGCGUACAUGACCUGCCUGUCAGAAGGGGAUAGCCCUGGGAAACUGGGAUUAAUACCCUAUGGUAUUGAUAUUAUGAAUGAUAUCAAUUAAAGUUGAGGCGCUGACAGAUGGAUGUGCGUCUGAUUAGCUAGUUGGUAGGGUAACGGCCUACCAAGGCGACGAUCAGUAGGGGGCGUGAGAGCGUGGUCCCCCACACGGGUACUGAGACACGGACCCGACUCCUACGGGAGGCAGCAGUAAGGAAUAUUGGUCAAUGCCCGCAAGGGUGAACCAGCCAUGCCGCGUGCAGGAUGAAGCAUCUAUGGUGUGUAAACUGCUUUUGUACGAGAAGAAACACUGCAACGUGUUGCAGCUUGACGGUAUCGUAAGAAUAAGGAUCGGCUAACUCCGUGCC